GAUGAACGCUGGCGGCGUGCCUAAUACAUGCAAGUCGAGCGAACAGACGAGGAGCUUGCUCCUCUGACGUUAGCGGCGGACGUGUGAGUAACACGUGGAUAACCUACCUAUAAGACUGGGAUAACUUCGGGAAACCGGAGCUAAUACCGGAUAAUAUAUUGAACCGCAUGGUUCAAUAGUGAAAGACGGUUUUGCUGUCACUUAUAGAUGGAUCCGCGCCGCAUUAGCUAGUUGGUAAGGUAACGGCUUACCAAGGCGACGAUGCGUAGCCGACCUGAGAGGGUGAUCAGCCACACUGGAACUGAGACACGGUCCAGACUCCUACGGGAGGCAGCAGUAGGGAAUCUUCCGCAAUGGGCGAAAGCCUGACGGAGCAACGCCGCGUGAGUGAUGAAGGUCUUCGGAUCGUAAAACUCUGUUAUUAGGGAAGAACAAAUGUGUAAGUAACUAGGCACGUCUUGACGGUACCUAAUCAGAAAGCCACGGCUAACUACGUG
rnacentral:rRNA from 1 species